rnacentral:rRNA from 1 species
UCUUCGGAUUCUAGAGAGCGGCGUACGGGUGCGUAACACGUGUGCAACCUACCUUUAUCUGGGGGAUAGCCUUUCGAAAGGAAGAUUAAUACCCCAUAAUAUAUUGAAUGGCAUCAUUUGAUAUUGAAAACUCCGGUGGAUAGAGAUGGGCACGCGCAAGAUUAGAUAGUUGGUGAGGUAACGGCUCACCAAGUCAAUGAUCUUUAGGGGGCCUGAGAGGGUGAUCCCCCACACUGGUACUGAGACACGGACCAGACUCCUACGGGAGGCAGCAGUGAGGAAUAUUGGACAAUGGGUGAAAGCCUGAUCCAGCCAUCCCGCGUGAAGGAUGACGGCCCUACGGGUUGUAAACUUCUUUUGUAUAGGAAUAAACCUAGAUACGUGUAUCUAGCUGAAGGUACUAUACGAAUAAGCACCGGCUAACUCCGUGCCAGCAGCCGCGGUAAUACGGAGGGUGCAAGCGUUAUCCGGAUUUAUUGGGUUUAAAGGGUCCGUAGGCGGACCUGUAAGUCAGUGGUGAAAUCUCGCAGCUUAACUGUGAAACUGCCAUUGAUACUGCAGGUCUUGAGUGAAUUUGAGGUAGCUGGAAUAAGUAGUGUAGCGGUGAAAUGCAUAGAUAUUACUUAGAACACCAAUUGCGAAGGCAGGUUACCAAGAUUCAACUGACGCUGAGGGACGAAAGCGUGGGGAGCGAACAGGAUUAGAUACCCUGGUAGUCCACGCUGUAAACGAUGCUAACUCGUUUUUGGGCUUUCGGGCUCAGAGACCAAGCGAAAGUGAUAAGUUAGCCACCUGGGGAGUACGUUCGCAAGAAUGAAACUCAAAGGAAUUGAC